rnacentral:rRNA from 1 species
UACAGAGGUCCCAAGCGUUUGUUCGGAUUCACUGGGCGUAAAGGGUGCGUAGGUGGCGAGGUAAGUCGGAUGUGAAAGCUCGGAGCUCAACUCCGAAAUGGCAUUGGAAACUACCUUGCUCGAGGGUUGGAGGGGGACUGGAAUGCUUGGUGUAGCAGUGAAAUGCGUAGAUAUCAAGCGGAACACCAGUGGCGAAGGCGAGUCCCUGGACAACUCCUGACACUGAGGCACGAAAGCUAGGGGAGCAAACAGG